rnacentral:rRNA from 1 species
GAUGAACGCUGACAGAAUGCUUAACACAUGCAAGUCUUUGGCGAAGCUGUGCUCGCACAGCCUAGCCAAGGCGGACGGGUGAGUAACGCGUAAGGAACUUGCCCUGCAGUCAGGGAUAACAGACGGAAACGACUGAUAAGACCUGGUAAAGUCAGGCGGACUCAUGUCCAGCCUGAUGAAAAGAGAUGCUGCAGGAGAGCCUUGCGUCCUAUUAGCUUGUUGGUGGGGUAACGGCCCACCAAGGCGAUGAUAGGUAGCCGGCCUGAGAGGGUGGACGGCCACAAGGGGACUGAGAUACGGCCCUUACUCCUACGGGAGGCAGCAGUGGGGAAUAUUGGACAAUGGGGGCAACCCUGAUCCAGCAAUUCUGUGCGCACGAUGAAGGUUUUCGGAUUGUAAAGUGCUUUCAGCAGGGAAGAAAAAAAUGACGGUACCUGCAGAAGAAGCGACGGCUAAAUACGUG